rnacentral:misc_RNA from 1 species
CCGGCCUCCCGCAUAUAAUUUUGUUUGUUUAAUAUUUCUCGAUUCUUAUUUAUUAUACGGUGUUUAUAAAUAUAAAUUACACGUAACUGCUUUAAAAAUAACUUAUACAAUCGCUUUUGAAUCAUAUCCUCUUGUGCCGAUCGACAGGAAGUGGUCAAAUCAACAAAAAUGCGAUAUCUAUUUUUGUCUACUAUUUUUAGUGUAGUUUUCGCUUAUGAAAAGGAUUUAACAUUCUCUGUCCAAGCCGGAAGGACUGAUUGCUUCUUUCAAAAAGUUCUCCCCAACGAAGUAAUCGACAUGGAAUACCAGGUGAUAGACGCGACCCACGGAGAGCUGGACAUAUCGUUCCAGUUGGCUGACCCAGUGGGGCGCGUGAUCGUCGCGGACUACAAGAAACCGGAGAACGCUCAUCGGCACACUGCAUCUCUGGAGGGAGAUUAUAGAUUCUGCUUCGACAACAGCUUUAGCACCUUCAGCGAGAAGACGGUGUUCUUUGACCUGGUGAUAGAUACAGAGGACAACCAGGAGAAAGACUAUGAUGAUGACAAGGAGAUGGAACUGGGUAACACAGCUGAGACGUACAUGAUGAAGGUGCGUGACAUUUCGGAGUCGGUCUCCCGCGUCAGGGACAAGGUGUCAGCAGCCCGCCGGCUGCAGGAGCUGCACUCGGCGCACGAGGCGCGCGACAGGAACCUCGCCGAAGAAAUGUGUGACAGGGUGAUGUCAUGGUCCAUGUGGCAGAUAGUUUUAAUGCUCAUAGUUGGAUUUACUCAAGUAUUUUUCGUUCGAAGUCUUUUUGAGGACAGCAACAGUAGAAGAAGCUAUAAGAGGUUCGUGCCGAGCUUCGCACAGUGACGUCUGUGGUCGCUAGUGAUCGCAAGUGAUCGUCAGUGAUCGCAUGUGAUCGCAAGUGAUCGUCAGUGAUCGUCAGUGAUCGCUACCAAAGAUUCUAACAGUGUAAGAUUGUGAUACAGACUGCAGAGGUGUUGUGUGAAGGGAAAAUUGAAAGAGUGCACAUUUUUUUUUUAUAUACUUUUAUAGCUAAGAAAAUUUCUUCUAUCGUGCUUGUGAGGUGAAUUAACCUCAUCAACUCUGGUGUUAGGGUUAUUACUGAACCGCCAAAGGCCCCUGACAUAACUCAUGUAACGACUACUUACUUACAUCAUUAAGAAAUAACCGGGACCAACGCCUUAACGUGCCUUUCGAAGCACGGAUCAUCUUAAUUUCUGGACAGUCAGGUGAUGAGCCUGUAAUGUCCUUAGCAAACUAGGAAUCAGAAAGUGAUUUUUGUGAUGUGUACGGGAUUCGAACCCGGGAUCUCCGGAUGGUGAGCCCAACGCUCAACCACUGGACCACGGAGGCCGUUACGGUUACUAAUCAAGAAGAAAAAGAUAGAGACAGAUUUAACACAGUUAAAGUUAAGUAAAAUGUUAGAUUGAACAGAAUCGACUGGCCU